GAGUUUGAUCCUGGCUCAGAUUGAACGCUGGCGGCAUGCCUUACACAUGCAAGUCGAACGGCAGCACGGGAGCAAUCCUGGUGGCGAGUGGCGAACGGGUGAGUAAUAUAUCGGAACGUGCCCAGUCGUGGGGGAUAACGCAGCGAAAGCUGUGCUAAUACCGCAUACGAUCUACGGAUGAAAGCGGGGGACUCGCAAGGGCCUCGCGCGAUUGGAGCGGCCGAUAUCAGAUUAGCUAGUUGGCGGGGUAAAAGCCCACCAAGGCGACGAUCUGUAGCUGGUCUGAGAGGACGACCAGCCACACUGGAACUGAGACACGUCC
rnacentral:rRNA from 1 species